UGACCCUCAUCUCUUCAGACUUUCUCUUUUAGACCAAAUAAAAAGGCAAAGAAGCCUUCCAGAAAGUCCCCCAUUAAAAAGUCUACUUGUUUGGGGGGGGCGGUGCCUGAGGCCUGGCUCUCACUGUAAGGCAGAUCAGUAGCACUGAUGGCCUUGCCUCCGGUUCCUGGAAGCUUCCUGCACGGGGGCCUACAGGUGGGGACCAGAGUGGGACCAGGCAUGAGCCAUCUGAGCA
rnacentral:snoRNA from 1 species